GCAGGAUGUGGGUAGAGUUUAAUCUGGUUGGUCAUAACUUUCACCUAAGACGUAGCUCCUUCGGAAUAAAAUGAAUACAGACACAGCUUCAUGUUCUUCACCUUGCUUUUCAUAACUGUUUUGAGUUUAAAUGGAUUCCACUUAAAAAUAAUCUCCUAUAGGUGAGUGGAGCCUUUUCUUUCCCAUCCAAGCACACACCAUACCCACCACCCCCC
rnacentral:lncRNA from 1 species